UUGAAUACGAUUGGUACUGAUGCUGGCUCUUUACUGAGCAUGUGCUCGUUCCAUCUAUUUAUCUUCUCUUGUGCACAUCUUGUGGUCUUGAAUUGAAACCUCUCGCAUUCGUGCGGCUUGGGAGUCUGAUUAAACUCUGCUCCUGCUUCGUUCAAGAUCAUGUUUUCAUAUACACUAUAAAGUUACAGAAUGUCUUUUAACGAUUGCGCAAGCAGUCAUUAAACCUAUA
rnacentral:misc_RNA from 1 species